GACGAACCGUGCGAACGUUGUUCGGAAUCACUGGGCUUAAAGGGCGCGUAGGCGGGCAGGCAAGUCAGGGGUGAAAGCCCCACGGCUCAACCGUGGAAGUGCCUUUGAUACUGCUUGUCUUGAGGGAGGUAGGGGCGUGCGGAACUUCCGGUGGAGCGGUGAAAAUGCGUAGAUAUCAGGAGGAACACCGGUGGCGAAGGCGGGGUCUCUGGGGCCGAUACUGACGCUGGAGGAGCGAAAAAGCCGUGGGGGGAGCGAAACAGGG
rnacentral:rRNA from 1 species